UGUGGGUGGAAGGCUUUAGCUUUCCCUAGAUAGUUAUGCGGCGUGACUGUGUGUAGAGUAACACGUGGGUAACCUGCCUGUAAGACUGGGAUAACUCCGGGAAACCGGGGCUAAUACCGGAUGGUUGUUUGAACCGCAUGGUUCAAACAUAAAAGGUGGCUUCGGCUACCACUUACAGAUGGACCCGCGGCGCAUUAGCUAGUUGGUGAGGUAACGGCUCACCAAGGCAACGAUGCGUAGCCGACCUGAGAGGGUGAUCGGCCACACUGGGACUGAGACACGGCCCAGACUCCUACGGGAGGCAGCAGUAGGGAAUCUUCCGCAAUGGACGAAAGUCUGACGGAGCAACGCCGCGUGAGUGAUGAAGGUUUUCGGAUCGUAAAGCUCUGUUGUUAGGGAAGAACAAGUACCGUUCGAAUAGGGCGGUACCUUGACGGUACCUAACCAGAAAGCCACGGCUAACUACGUGCCAGCAGCCGCGGUAAUACGUAGGUGGCAAGCGUUGUCCGGAAUUAUUGGGCGUAAAGGGCUCGCAGGCGGUUUCUUAAGUCUGAUGUGAAAGCCCCCGGCUCAACCGGGGAGGGUCAUUGGAAACUGGGGAACUUGAGUGCAGAAGAGGAGAGUGGAAUUCCACGUGUAGCGGUGAAAUGCGUAGAGAUGUGGAGGAACACCAGUGGCGAAGGCGACUCUCUGGUCUGUAACUGACGCUGAGGAGCGAAAGCGUGGGGAGCGAACAGGAUUAGAUACCCUGGUAGUCCACGCCGUAAACGAUGAGUGCUAAGUGUUAGGGGGUUUCCGCCCCUUAGUGCUGCAGCUAACGCAUUAAGCACUCCGCCUGGGGAGUACGGUCGCAAGACUGAAACUCAAAGGGAAUUGACGGGGGCCCGCACAAGCGGUGGGAGCAUGUGGUUUUAAUUCGAAAGCAACGCGAAGAACCCUUACCAAGGUCUUGACAUCCUCUGACAAUCCUAGAGAUAGGACGUCCCCUUCCGGGGGCAGAGUGACAGUGGUUGCAUGGUUGUCGUCAGCCUCGUGUCGUGAGAAUGUUGGGUUUAGGUCCCGCAACGAAGGCGUCACCCCUUGAUCUUAGUUGCCAGCAUUCAGUUGGGCACUCCUAGGUGACUGCCGGUGAACAACCGGAGAGGUGGGGGAUGAACGUUCAAUCAUCAUGCCCCCUUAUGAACCUGGGGCUCAUACACCAGCCUGUGCUAUCACAAAGUGGGGACACGGA
rnacentral:rRNA from 1 species